GUGAAUCAUCAAAUCUUUGAACGCAAAUUGCACUCUCCUCGGAGAGUAUGCCUGUUUGAGGGUCAGCCUAUAAAAAAUCGAAAUCUUGGCUGUUUCGCGGUGACGUUCGUCGGAAAUUGGGUCAUCUUAAAUCCUUUUGGUUUUAAGCGCCUUAAAAUUUUCUUUUUGUUUCCAUGAAGGUUUCUAAGAUUUAUUUCUUUACACGUUUAGGGUUAUCGAUUUUUAUUAGACUUUACCACCAUAC
rnacentral:misc_RNA from 1 species